rnacentral:tRNA from 1 species
ACUAUUUUAGUAAAAGAAAGAAGAAGAUUAUGAUAUUUUGAUGGAAUAUAGUUUGAUGAUAGUA